CGCAGAGCCGCGCCGCCCCGAGGGACGAUGAUGCCGCGGGCCUGGCGCAGCGCGGGGGCUCGCCCGUUCCUGCUGGCGCUGCUGCUGGUGCAUCUGCCGCCGGGUCGCAGCCACCGAGCCACGGGGCCCCGGUUUUUAAUAAGCGACCGUGACAGAGACCCGCAGUGUAACCUGCAUUGCUCCAGGUCCCAGCCCAAACCCCUGUGUGCCUCUGAUGGCAGAACCUACGAGUCCAUGUGCGACUACCAGAGAGCCAAAUGCCGCGAGCCGAGUCUGAGCGUCACGCAUCGGGGCCGCUGCAAAGAUGCUGGCCAAAGCAAGUGUCGUUUAGAGAGAGCUCAAGCGCUGGAACAGGCAAAGAAGCCCCAGGAAGCAGUCUUCAUCCCAGAAUGCAAUGAGGAUGGAUCAUUCAUGCAGGUGCAGUGCCAUACCUACACGGGAUACUGCUGGUGUGUGACACCUGAUGGCAAACCUAUUAGCGGCUCUUCUGUACAGAACAAAACUCCUGUAUGUUCAGGUUCUGUAACUGAUAAGCCAUCAAGCCAGGGUAAUUCAGGAAGGAAAGUUUCUUUUCGAUUCUUUCUAACCCUCAAUUCAGAUGAUGGUUCGAAACCAACGCCUACCAUGGAAACCCAGCCUAUUUUCGAUGGAGAAGAAAUCACAGCACCCACCCUUUGGAUUAAGCACUUGGUCAUCAAAGAUUCCAAAAUGAACAGCUCCAAUAUAAGGAAUUCAGAAAAAGUUCACUCCUGUGACCAGGAGAGGCAGAGCGCCUUGGAGGAGGCCAGGCAGAACCCCCGGGAGGGAAUCGUCAUCCCUGAGUGUGCUCCUGGAGGACUCUACAAACCAGUGCAAUGCCACCAGUCAACCGGGUACUGCUGGUGUGUCCUGGUGGACACAGGACGUCCCCUGCCUGGUACUUCCACUCGGUAUGAGACCCCAGUGUGUGAAAGCGAUGCCAGAUCGAAGAGCACAGAGAUUGAGGAUCCCUUCAAGGACAGAGAACUUCCAGGCUGCCCAGAAGGGAAGAAAGUUGAAUUUAUUACCAGCUUACUUGAUGCUCUGACUACGGACAUGGUACAGGCUAUUAACUCAGCAGCACCUACUGGGGGUGGGAGGUUCUCUGAGCCAGACCCCAGCCACACACUAGAGGAGCGAGUGGUACACUGGUAUUUCAGCCAGCUGGACAACAACAGCAGCAAUGAUAUCAACAAGCGGGAGCUAAAGCCUUUCAAACGUUACGUGAAGAAGAAAGCCAAGCCGAAGAAAUGUGCCCGGCGUUUCACUGACUACUGUGACCUCAACAAGGACAAGUCAAUCUCACUUCAGGAGCUGAAAGGGUGUUUGGGAGUCAGCAAGGAAGGAGAAGACAAAGUCAGCAUUUUGUGCCUGCCCAAAGAGGAGCUAAGGGAAUAAGCAGCAAAGAAAUGUCCCUCUGCCAGCUGAAGGGAAGUUGCCUCCUGCCAGCUCAGAUCCCGUGAUUGCUUUGCUGUCCAAGAGCUUGUCAGAUGGUAGGUGUUGGGCCUGCUUCACAGGCCAUGAGGACGUCUGAGGUGGAGCCCAGCCACCAAGAGUGCAGUCCAGAAACAGGAUCGAAAUAUCUGAAUUAAAAAGUGUAUGUGUGUGUAAUUAAACAGAAUUUCCCUUUCUGUUGAAUCUGAGGAAAUGUUGCAGAAAGAAUGAAAGGUAGACAGUCUGAACAGCAGAUUUCAUUCAGUGAUGUUUUGGGUCUUUCUUAUUGCUAUCUUCAGAAGUAACUGCGUGCUUGGGAGGCUGGGAAUGAGUUGCUCUAUAUAAUCACUGCACAAACCGCUCACCCCUGCCCUGUGAGCUUCUGCCCAUCUUGUUCCUGCACAGAGCAGCAUGUGCAGUGGAUUACUUGAUGUGUAGAGUGAGCUGUGCAGUCAGGUCAUGUGCAUGCACAAAUCAAAGUCAUAGGCUGGAGUGGAGGGUGGCAACAGGCUUACUGCUGCUGGCUGGGAGCAGGAGCUCCUACUUUCAGCUAAUCCCUCCUCUGAAAUCAGAGGAAGCAGCUCGCAGGAAGUGUGACAUGCUUUCAGCAGCUCCUGUAAUCCCUAAGCUGUCUGUACCCAGUGCAGAGGCCCUUGCCAUGAGCUCCAUCUGGUGUAGGGUGCAUGUGCCUGUUAUCUCACAAAGCAGUCACAGUUCUGCCCUUCUGCCAGGUAUAAGUUCAGGUCUUUGAUUUUAGGCACUUGUUUGUUUGAUUCAAGCAAAAGAUUUAAUAAACCUGGGCUGUCUGUAUUGCCUGUACCCUCACUCUUUUCUGGCUGCUCCCUUUCUACAUGGCAUUAUUUUGCUUGCUUGGGAAAACCUCAUGAUUCUGCUUGCAUCCUUCCUUUCUUUUUUCUCCUUCCACUGUUCGGUUUGUAAUUGUUGUUUCUUGCCCAUGCAAAACCUCUGGAUUUCAUGAUAUUGAACUUCUACAACACAAGGUAGCCUGAGCAGUUUGCCCAAUGGAAAAAGACAAGGUCUUAACCCUUUCAUAGGUCGCCUGGUGUAGCAGCAGAAGACAAGAAGGGAAGGCAGGAGCUGACCCAAAUGAAGAAAAGAUCCAGUGACAGACGGACAGACACCUUGUUGCUUGUGAGCAAGCACACAGCAUCAGCGACAUCCAGUGUAGCAGAAGUGGCACCCAGAACAUUUGCACUUUUAAAAAAUUGGUUUGGGUUUGUUUUCAAUUGCUUUUCAAUGCCAUUAUCUAAUAGUUUGGAAAGUGGAGGGAAAUAGGAUCAUGACUUUUAAAAAUUGGAACAGCUACUGAUGAUGUAAAAUUGAGUUCGCUGGGGACUCAAAGAAUUUUAUAUACUGUAUAUAAAUAUAUAUGUAAAUUGUACAGUUGUCUUGUACAGGGGUUGGAGUCACUGUUUUGUUCCUCCUUUUGCUUUUGAAGGCUGUUAGGGUUAGAGGGACACUUUGAAUUUAAUGAAUUAUAGUAAUGCAUUCAUUUCUGCCACCAAACCAUCAUUCAGUGGCAAACUUUAACAGCACCUCCACGCAGAAAGGAGCCAGUGUAUCAGCAUGAAUUGUUCUUACAGAUGUGCACACAGUGCCCCAGAUAACAAAUGCUUCUUGAGAGCAGCAGAACCUCUUUUCUUACCACAAAGCUCUCUGAAACUCAGGCAAUUGGGCUUUUGAGGGCACAGAUUUCAUGUAAGUAUUGGUGCACUGCAAAGCUGCCUAAAGUAGAGACAGAAAAGGGUUGUAUGAGGGAUGUACAAAAGUAGUUUGUGCACCUGUUGCAAGUUGGGCAGAAAUGAGAUACAAAUGCAUUGCUAUUCAUGCUGAGAUAACAUGCUUAGCAAAGGUGUGCCAUGCCUCUGGAACCUAAAACUGUAGGAAGGAUGUGGGAGCCAUAGGCCCAGUAGAGUCAGUGGAGCGAAGUCUUGCAUCUUCCUCUCUGACAAAGGGUUCAUCUGUAUGUUGUACAACAAUAAACAUUUUGAGAAGCCUGCUAAAGCAGCAUUAGCCUGCCUUGUGCUUUGCUGAAGAGCAAAGAACAUGUCAGUGCAGACAGAGUUGUGCUGCUGGUCCCCAAGGGUCUGCUUUAUUUAUGUUUCAGCAGUACAGCUUGGGCCACGCUCACUGGUGAAGGUCUGUCAGCAGUGACUUUUCUUGUCCUUGGUGGUUGUGAAUCCAGGCUCUUCUCCUGGACAGUGGUGUGCCUGCCCACUUUGCCUGAUUUGCUGUUGCCAGUUCCUCCUGGGUACUGUGACACUGGGGUGUGAUUAGCACUAACAGUGAAGGCUUGGGAUGAGGAGGCUGGUGUUUUUGGAGGCCCCAGGGGCUGUGUCAACCACUAGCAGUUUUACCAAAGUUGUUUCUUUGGCAGGGGUGCCCGUAUCAGCAAUCCUAGAUUUGGGCAGAGUGUGAUGGGACACACAGUGUUUUGCUUGGUGUAUUUCCAACCACUGGCAGCCCUUGCCUGUUCUAAGCAGCCUCCCACUUCAGACCCUAUAUCUGGACCAAGAACCUGUUAGAAUAAACUGUUGUGAAGGUGAUGAAAUGACAUGCUAAUACGAGAUCACACCAACAAUUACUUGAAACAGCAAUAGGUUACUGUAGAGACUGGACUUACCCCUCAAGGCUCUGUUGCUUUGGUAACAAAUGAUACAACACGGCAUCUUCACACUGUCAUGUCAUCAUGACAAUAGCAUGAGAUAAAUAUAUCACCAAAAAAAUAGUAUCCUGAUACAGUAAGUUAGUGCUUGUUGACAAAAUGGGAAGUUAAAUAAAAGAAAAACUAACAAGCCUUUCUAUAAAUAACUGUUUAAGGGUAGUAAUAACUCUUCCUCUAGGAAGUAUAUUGGAGCUAAUUAAAACAUAUGGCAUGGUUGAAAACACCUCUGGUAAUACCUGAAAUAUACACCAUACCAUUAUAAAAUAAAGAAGUCUUCUCUUCAGCAAGAGCAGAUCCUGCUGCUGGAUCUUCAUGGUUUCUCACAUGGAAUGUAUAUGCAUUUUCGGCCUGCAAGCUCCCACCUUCUUCUCUUUUUGUUCUUUGUUUUUGUUUUUCCUUUAAUGCCCUGGGCACAUCUUUUGUGUGUUGAAAUAACUUGGUUUAGUGUAUAGUUAGAAAUGUCUAUGUCACACUCACUAAUCCUAUUGUAGGGAGUAAAGAAUGAAAUCAACUGUAUAAAAAAACCCCUCUCCAUUUUAAUAUUCUAGUUUUAGGAAUUAAAAGUUCUGGCUGCUGGGUUGGUUGGUAUUUGGUGGUUUGGGGUUUUGGGGAUUUUUUUGGGGGUGGGGUUUUUCUUUGUUUGGUUGGGGGAUUUUUUAAUGUAUAGUUAUAUCCAGCAGAAACAGACAAUUGGAUGCCUCUAGGAAUUCUAUCAGCCAAGCACUGGGGCUGGGCAAUGCCCCACAGAUUGUGGGGAGACUGCAGAGCUGCUACAACUCACUGCGUCUUCUGGAAAUAAACAAGCCACCACUUCUGCUUGUUACAUAAAUCCAUCUGCUGACCUCCUUUUUCUCAUCCUUGUGUCCUUCCCCUCCAAAAGGCCUGCAUUUAUGUGUGGUUUAUAUCUAAAAUUGGGUCAGUUCUUUAAGAAAGACAAACAAAGGGUGGCUGUUGGUUAACUUUGGUAUUUGUGGGUAUUCCUGUUGCUAGGCCAGGGCUGACUUUAUGGAUGGAUUAGGGACCAGGCAUUACACUGCUUUCCCUAAAACAAGACAAUUCCAAGUCGUGCAUCCUGACUUGCUGAAUUUGUGUGGGUCUCUGAGCAGCUUCUGGCAGCACUUGUGCAUUGCCAUGGAAGGCCCAACCAGCAUGAUUGUGUAAUGUCCAGGCAGAGGUCAGGUUACUUGUUCUGGGUUUGUGUCAGAGGAUUGUGCAGACCAUGCUGGUCCUGAUUGACAUAGCCCAUGCUAUGAGCAUGCUGUGAGUCCAACAACCUGUACUCAUCAGAUGAGUGCAGUGCCUCAGCUGCCCAUUUCCCCUCUUGGUUUUAUUGCCAGUUCACCUGGCUGCUAGGCCAAAUUGUCCUUGUCUGGUGGUUGUAAGCAAUCUUCUGCUCUACCUUGCAUCAGUAGCAUCUUUCUGAAGCUGAGACAAAGGGAGUGUCAGUGUUGUGUCUGAAAGCAGACCCUGGGCAUGUUCUCCUCAUCCUUCAAGUCCUCCUGGGCCUCUCCAGCUCUACUUUGUAUGAUGGCUGAAAACAGCUGGGACAGAGAAGAGAACCAGGACUAACAGCACACAUCAUCUGUUCAUCCUGCCAGAAGUAAAAAAUCUUUCCUUCCUUGCCGAUUUUCCAAGGACAUAGUGUGUUGUAAAAGUGCAUUACAGUGGGAUUCAUUUGCGUGAAGGCACUGCUUUCCAUAGCCUGAGUUUAUAUUGAACUUACCCUCCCCAUUAGGCACAUUUCUGCCUAUGGCAAAUUUGUUAAACUGAAAGGCAUCUGUUUGGUUUUGUAAUAAAAUAGAUAACUUUUGCUCCAGUA